rnacentral:rRNA from 1 species
CCCAGACUCCUACGGGAGGCAGCAGUGGGGAAUAUUGCACAAUGGGCGAAAGCCUGAUGCAGCGACGCCGCGUGAGUGAAGAAGUAUUUCGGUAUGUAAAGCUCUAUCAGCAGGGAAGAAAAUGACGGUACCUGACUAAGAAGCCCCGGCUAACUACGUGCCAGCAGCCGCGGUAAUACGUAGGGGGCAAGCGUUAUCCGGAUUUACUGGGCGUAAAGGGAGCGUAGACGGCGAAGCAAGUCUGAAGUGAAAACCCGGGGCUCAACCCUGGGACUGCUUUGGAAACUGUUUUGCUAGAGUGUCGGAGAGGUAGGUGGAAUUCCUAGUGUAGCGGUGAAAUGCGUAGAUAUUAGGAGGAACACCAGUGGCGAAGGCGGCUUACUGGACGAUAACUGACGUUGAGGCUCGAAAGCGUGGGGAGCAAACAGGAUUAGAUACCCUUGUA